CCCCAACUCGAUUUAUUAAUACUGUUAAUAUACAGGACUACACUCAAUGACUUAUUUUUUGAUAAUAAAUAUCUAAACAAAAUGAUACUAAUCCUAACCCAUUUCACCCUAAAAUUAAACUAGGAGAACUAGGAAUAAAAAUCAAAAAAA